rfam:Pseudocercospora musae strain CBS 116634 scaffold638, whole genome shotgun sequence.
AAUUUAUUUUAACAAUUGUUAAUCUAGGAUAAAUCCAACUUUUUAACGAAGUGAAUUGAAAUACCUUAUUAACUUCAGGAAAAGAAAUCAAAUGAGAUUAUUCUUCACCUAAAAAAUGAAAGAUAAAAGUCUUUAAAGUAAAAUGGAAAUAAUCUGUUUGAAUAUAGGGAAACCUUUCUCUAAGACUAAAUAAUGAUAUAGCAUACAUGAUAAGCAACAGAGCAUUAGUACCGUAAGGGAAGUAUUUGAAAUAGUAGCUUUAUAAGCAGCUCAAAUUUAAAUUAAAAAAUGAACGAGAGCGUACCUUUUGCAUAAUGGGUCAGCAAGUUAAUAUUAGAUGCGAGAUUACUUUUUUCUUUUUAAGAAAAAUCUUAUCCCAGAUAAACCAAUUAUUAAAUAAUGAAUAAGUAUCUAGUAUUAGACCCGAAGCCUAGUGAUCUUACCAUGAUCAGGGUUAUAAAAGCUCGAACAGGUUAUCGUUGUAAAGAUAUCUGAUGAAUUGUGGUAAGUUAGUGAAAGACAAAACUGACUAGGAUAGCUGGUUUUCCGCGAAACCUAUAUAAGUAGGUAGUUUAAAAGUUAUCAUUUUUUUUUUAAUUACUAAAAUAAGUAAGGUUUAUAGUUCGCAAAAAAAAAUUACAAGUAAUAGAACAAGAACCAGAAAUAGACCGAGAAAAAUCUAUUUUUAGGCUUCAUAAAAAAAAAUUAAAAGUAAUAGAACAAGAACCAGAAAUAGACCGAGAAAAAUCUAUUUUUAGGCUUCAUAAAAAAAAAUUAAAAGUAAUAGAACAAGAACCAGAAAUAGACCGAGAAAAAUCUAUUUUUAGGCUUCAUAAAAAAAAUUAAAAGUAAUAGAACAAGAACCAGAAAUAAACCGAGAAAAAUCUAUUUUUAGGCUUCAUCACCUCUAUACUUUUAUAUUUUUGUAACUUAUGCCUUACCCUUCGAAGUUUAUAAAUAAAAAAUGAUAAUUACAUCGUUGCAGGUACAGAAUUGUGAUCUCAGACAAAUGUUGAUUAAAAGCAUUGUUUAAUAAACAUGCAAAAUCUGUUUGUAUACAUUGGGGGAUCGUGAAGAUUUUAUCAGUGAGGAUUUGCUCUCGGAAGGGCAACGAUGAAUAUUAAACUGUCGGACAUAGUACGAUAAGGUUGUAUGUCUAAAGGGAAACAGCCCAGAACAAGUGUUAAAGGUUCCAAAGUUAUUGUUAAGUGAAAUUAAGGUAGUUUUUUUCAAAAACAACUAGUAAAUAGGCUUAGAAGCGGCCAUUUUUUUAAGAUCUCGUAACAGAGCACUGGUUUAUUUAAGUUAAACGCACCGAAAAUAUAACGGAUCUAAAACAGUAUACCGAAACCUUGUACGUAAUUAAAACUAAGAUAAUGAGUUAUUUUAUUGCAAAAUAAAGUUAUGUAAAUAUAAAUAUAUAUUUAGAUAUAUAUAUUGUUAUUGUUAAAAUCAUUAAUAGUUAUAUUUAUGGGGUAGCGGAACGUUGGGUUAAUUCUUAGAAUUUAUAUCCUUGAUAUAAAUUAUCUUUAUGGUGAAUAAUAAAUAAUGGUAAAAUCGUUAAAAACAGACUAUCCCAAGUGAUAAUGCUGACAUGAGUAACGAAAAAGGGUAACCCCCUCGCCUUAAGCUUAUGGUAUGAGCGAUUUAAGUAACGGCCCCUAAGUUUAUAAACCUUUCCUAAAGGAUUAAAUGAUGGGUGAAUCUCGCGCAUAUUUAACAUUUAUAAGUAUUUAAUAGAAAACUCAUAAGUGUUAGUUAAUUUAUAAGUUUUGUAUUAAAGAAAAGUGAUAAAUGUUCUGGAAAAAUAUAUGCCGGUAUUUUUAUAUAUCGUAUUGACCGUACCUAGACACUACCACAAGUAAGCAAGUAGAGAAUACAAAGGCGUUUGAGAUAACAAUCAUUAAGGAACUCGGCAAAUUGACUCCGUAACUUCGGGAUAAGGUGUGCCAUUAUUAUUAAGUAAUAAGAGGAGACAUAAAAUGGUGUUGUACGACUGUUUAAUUAAAACAAAGCACUUUGCAUAAGAUAAUAAAUCAAAGUAUUGAGUGUGAUUUCUGCCCAAUGUUGGCUGGUUAACGAAUUUUCUUAGUCAAAUAACACUAGGCUAGGUUUUGAAGGAACCCCCAAUCAAUGGCGGCCUUACCGAUGAGGGUCCUAAGGUAGCGGAAUACCCUGGCCGUUAAAUGCGGUCUUGCAUGAAUGAUUUAACGAUACAACAGCUGUCUCAAUGAUUGUCUCAGUGAAAUUGGAAUAACUGUGCAGAUACAGUUUUCUUCUAGUUAGACGAGAAGACCCUAUGCAGCUUUACUGUUGCUAGUAAUUGAAUAUAAUAAAACAAGUUUUAGUAUAUAAGGUUAUUGAUAGGAUGAUAGUGAAAUACCUUUACUUAGUUUAUUAUAUUAUUGGACUAGUUGAUUUUAGGUUCUUAGUACAUAACUAUUGUUUACUACUGAAAGGGAGUAAACAGCUUUUUAUUUAGGACUGCUUUGGUAUGGACAAUGUUCAGCUUAACAUAAAGAGUUAAGGACUGCUUUGGGACGGACAGUGUACAGCUUAAGAGUUAUAGAAAAUAGCUUACAUCUUAAUUUAGUAUCCAUAUGCUUAUCUGAAAGGUUAAUAAUAAAGGUUUAUGUAAAAAAUAUCACUUUUAUAAAUGAGACAUUUGCUAGUGGACAGUUUAUGCGGGGCACAGAUCCCAUAAAAAGUACCUGGGUGUAUCCAAAGUUAAAAUUGUAAAUUCAUUAAAAAUUUUUAAUGAUUUUGUCUUGUUUUUAUUGUGUUUAUAACCAUUAAAUAUAAGACACUAUUUUUACUUUGUAAUAGAUUAUUUUAUGAUUUAUUCACUUAUAUUUCUAUUAAGUUAGAUUAAUUAUAUUUUUUUAAGUAAGGGUUUAACUAUAUGGAAAAUAGAUGUUUAACUUGUCUUUAGCAUCAUUCAAACAUUAAUAAGAUGAUUUUUAAUAUUUACUGUUAAAGUUUAAUGGCUUAACCUUGCUUUACUGUUUGACUUACAUGUCUAUCAGUCGCGUAAGCGGGGCAUACGAUCACAAGAUGCAGAAAGGAAAGGUCUUGGAUUUUUGAAAAAAGCUACGCUAGGGAUAACAGGCUAAUUGCGCCAGAGAGUACAAAUUGAGUGCGCAGUUUGGCACCUCGAUGUCGGCUUAGCUCAUCCACAUGAAUGCAGGAAUCAUGAAGGGUACGACUGUUCGUCGGUUAAAGAGCUACACGAGCUGGGUUAAAUACGUCGUGAGACAGUAUGGUUUCUAUCUUCUAGAAGUAAUUAGAGUAAAACAAGGAUAGCCCCUUCGUACGAAAGGAGUUGGGUAUGGUAACCUCUGGUUUAUUUGUUGUUUAGGUAAUUAAGGCCUGAUAAUAGAAUUCCGGGGAUGUGCUCGUUGAAGGCCUCUAAGAGUACCGCAGGUUCCCAUCAUAUAUUCGCUAUUUAUAAUAUGGAAAGUAGGCACAGCAAUAAAGCUACGUUAGUCAUAAAUAAGUGCUGAAUGCAUAUAGGCACGAAGUUUGUCUUGAGAUACUCUUAAAUAUACGUAAUACAAAAUUACGAAUCGUAAACUUACGAUUGUAUAGGUUUUGGUUUAAAGGAUUUUAAUUUCUUCAGAUAUAAAAUACUAAUUUUAUUUUAUACUAGAUUUU